rnacentral:rRNA from 1 species
GAAAAGAAACUAACAAGGAUUCCCCUAGUAACUGCGAGUGAAGCGGGAAAAGCUCAAAUUUAAAAUCUGGUAGUCUUUGGCUGCCCGAGUUGUAAUCUAGAGAAGCAUUAUCCGCGCUGGACCGUGUACAAGUGUCCUGGAAUGGACCAUCAUAGAGGGUGAGAAUCCCGUCUUUGACACGGACUACCAGGGCUUUGUGAUGUGCUCUCAAAGAGUCGAGUUGUUUGGGAAUGCAGCUCUAAAUGGGUGGUAAAUUCCAUCUAAAGCUAAAUAUUGGCGAGAGACCGAUAGCGAACAAGUACCGUGAGGGAAAGAUGAAAAGAACUUUGGAAAGAGAGUUAAACAGUACGUGAAAUUGCUGAAAGGGAAACGCUUGAAGUCAGUCGCGUUGGCUGGGGAUCAACCUUGCUUCUUGCUUGGCUUACUUCCCAGUUGACGGGUCAGCAUCAGUUUUGACCGGUGGAUAAAGGUCAGGGGAAUGUGGCACCCUCGGGUGUGUUAUAGCCUCUGGUCAUAUACAUUGGUUGGGACUGA